rnacentral:rRNA from 1 species
AGUGAACGCUGGCGGCGUGCCUAAUACAUGCAAGUCGAACGAAGUGGCGCACGGGUGAGUAAUAUAUAGUUAAUCUGCCCUACACAGAGGAACAACAGUUGGAAACGACUGCUAAUACCUCAUAGUGUCGGAUGAGACUAUAUCGUAUCAGCUAGUUGGUAAGGUAAUGGCUGACCAAGGCGAUGACGCGUAACGGGUCUGAGAGGAUGAUCAGUCACAUUGGAACUGAGAAACGGUCCAAACGCCUACGGGAGGCAGCAGUAAGGAAUAUUGCGCAAUGGGGGAAACCCGGACGCAGAAAUGCCGCGUGAGGGAAGAAGGUUUGCGGAUAGUAAAACGCUGUUGUUAGAGAAGCGUUAGUAACUGAACGUCCCCUGACGUUAUCUAACCAGAAAGCCACGGUAACUACGUGCCAGCAGCCGCGGUAAUAC